CCUACGGGUGGCAGCAGUGAGGAAUAUUGGUCAAUGGGCGGAAGCCUGAACCAGCCAAGUAGCGUGCGGGAUGAAGGCCCUACGGGUCGUAAACCGCUUUUGCACGGGGAUAACACCCUCCACUUGUGGCGGUCUGCAGGUACCUUGCGAAUAAGGGCCGGCUAAUUCCGUGCCAGCAGCCGCGGUAAUACGGAAGGCCCGAGCGUUAUCCGGAUUUAUUGGGCUUAAAGGGAGCGUAGACGGGCGUUCAAGUCAGUUGUGAAAGGCACGGGCUAAACCUGUGACCUGCAUGUGAAACUGGAGUUCUUGAGUACUGGAGAGGCAGACGGAAUUCGUGGUGUAGCGGUGAAAUGCGUAGAUAUUAGGAGGAACACCAAUGGCGAAGGCGGUCUACUGGACAGCAACUGACGUUGAGGCGCGAAAGCGUGGGGAGCAAACAGGAUUAGAUACCCUUGUAGUC
rnacentral:rRNA from 1 species